CCUUGCCCCAAAUCGUCCACAGCUCUGUGAUGGCAAGGGAAGCACAGGAUGCAGGACCCCAUCCACAAGGAGCACAGGAAGAAAGCUACUGGCUGGGUACUGGGCAACAAUAAAUUGGACUUGUGCAUUACUUUUCUUCCAAGGAGAUUGAAGACUUUACAACAGAGGUUGCAGUGGAUGGCUUGAAAAUUUUUGAAUUUGAGGACUGUUCUCGGGCCUCCCAUCCUCCAGUUCACCUCACUAUUGGCCCACACCUCAGUAACACAUUCCAGUCACACCAUCCAUCUGGCCCCCAAGGGAACCAAGAGAAAAGAAAUGUAUGCAUCCAGGAAGCAAUUAAUAUGGAACUGAGGCAAAUAUUGACUCAAGGCAAGAAACAGAACACCCAAAAGUAUGCAGAGCGAUAAGUCCAAGCUGUAAAGGGAGAUCAUUUGUAAGGAGAGAUCGAAAGCUUUAACACUAGAACCUAAAUACACAUAAACACAUCACCCUGCAUGCCCACUGUUGGGUGAAGAAGCCGUUUGCUUUCAAUGCGUAUGAGCACUGGAGAAGCAGGGCUGCCACUGCCGCAAGGGAGGCCCUGCUGCCUGGACCCAUCCAGCUGGCGUGUCUCGGGACAUUCACCGGGCUGCAGAUGUUGUGGGCGUGCCCAGAAUGCUCUACCCUCCCCGCUGCUACAGCAGGACCCAGUGAGAGGUGUCCCUGAGGGGCAGUGGGACCCCACCCUCUUCUUCCUCUUUGCUUUCCUGGCUCCUGCGGUGAGCACCUCGCUCCGCCAUGCGCUGUGUUCACGAUGUGGUCCCUCACUAGAGGUCUGGACAAUGGAGCCAUCUCAUUAGGGACUGGAGCCUCUAAACCAUGAG
ensembl:lncRNA